rnacentral:rRNA from 1 species
UACGGAGGGUGCGAGCGUUGUCCGGAAUCAUUGGGCGUAAAGGGCGCGUAGGUGGCCCGGUCAGUUCGUGGUGAAAGCGCGGGGCUCAACCCUGCGUCGGCCAUGAAUACUGCCGCGGCUGGAGCACUGUAGAGGCAGGCGGAAUUCCGGGUGUAGCGGUGGAAUGCGUAGAGAUCCGGAAGAACACCGGUGGCGAAGGCGGCAUCCUGGACCAAAACUGACGCUGAAAUAGCGAAAGCCAGGGGAGCAAACGGGG